AACAAGAUCAGAGGUGCUAAGUGCUAUA
rnacentral:piRNA from 1 species